GAGGGAGGAGUGGUCAUGUCCAGAGAAGAUAGUUUUGUUUGUUUUGUAAGAAAUAUAACCACAGUUGAUUGCGGGAGGGAAGGAGCCCAUUUAUGCUAAGGAAAAUGGAUAAGUUCCCCUCUUCACGUUGAUUGUAUUUCAUUUAACCUUCCUCCCCUCCCUUCUCCACAGUUGUCCCAGAGAACUCUCAUCUGGGGUCAUCUCCAAAGUCAUGGUAUUGCCAAGCCCAACAAGAGGAUAUUGCAACCUGGAAACAGUUGGUUCUCACCUCCCUGGCAUGCAGUAGACUUGUCUCAAGCACCCCAAACUUGACUUUGCCUCGUAACAGUGGGGGCCAGAUGUUUUCUCCUUGACUGUGCACAAACCAUGACACCAGCAAUAACAGCAAACGCAAAAACAGCAUUUACGCUGAGCCAGACACUGUUCUGAGUCCUCAUGAGGAAAACAAAAGCCCUUUCUCUCGAUUCACCAGAAGGACACUGACGACCAUCGUCGCUGCGAGGAGGUCCCCAUUGUCUCAGAAACUGAAGCCUCUAAACAAUCAGGGACCCCGUGCCUCUAGAAUAAGAACAUACUAGAAGCCCCUUCAGUUAGGACUGGAGGUACAGUCAGAAUCGCAGCGGUGUGAGCUGACCUUCAGAAAUCGGAAUCACCUGGAGAGAUUUAACAACUCGGGCUGCCUUAGCCACACCCCAGGCCAACCUCACCUCUCCGAUGGGACCCAGGAUCAUGGGAGGCCACCUUGACCUUCUCUU